AUGCCUUUGUUCCAAUUGUUCUCAGUCUCCACUCACCAGCAUGUAAGCUGUAUGAGGGCAAAGAUGUUCAUGAAGCCAUUCCCUAGAAUGGUAUGGGGCACAGAGGAGGGGCUCAAGAAUAUUGGUGGGAUGGAUGACUUUGCCUUGGCCGGGGAAGACGUGCAACAGGAGGCUUUGAACUACCUAGCCUCUGGCUCUCCUUCAGAUUACGCAGUCACAGAGCCCCAGGGCAUGCUGGGAGGGCAAGAGCUGAAACCCAUCCCCUCUGCUCCACUCCAGGAUCUUCUGCUUGAGUGGCUCGGCUUGACUCAGGAGGACUCCUCUAUAUCUGAGUGCAGACAGGACGGCUAUUUAUGUUUGCACCUGUUCAUCACCAGCACUAUAUUGCGCUGUAUGGGUAUAUGGGUCUGAGUUUGCAUAGACACAGGAAGUGUAUCAGAUUGGCUAUGUGGGGAUCCCAUCCUCUAGGGAAAACACUUAUGGCUUCUUUCUCUGUUUGCCUGGUCUAUGGGUGGUAGCAGGGCCUGCAAACACCUCAGACUAGGCAAACCUUGCAUGGUCUUCAAAGGGAGUCAGAGUGGAUCGCUCGCAUAGCUUACAUUCUAAAGAUGUUUGCUUUAUCUUUCCUGAAAGUUGUUCACUUUAACUUUCACCUUAUCCUACUUAACCAACAUUACUUGGAAUUGAUAGUUUCAUAUUCCAGGUUAUAGAGACCACUUAUUUUUCAG
rnacentral:lncRNA from 1 species